rnacentral:rRNA from 1 species
UACGGAGGGUGCAAGCGUUGCUCGGAAUUAUUGGGCGUAAGGGGAGGGAAGGUGGUCUAAUUUGUCUGAGGGGAAAGCCUUGGGCUUAACUCAAGAAGUGCCUCAGAAACGGUGAGACUGGAGUCCUGGAGAGGGUCGUGGAAUUCCCGGUGUAGCGGUGAAAUGCGUAGAGAUCGGGAGGAACACCAGAGGCGAAAGCGGCGACCUGGACAGGUACUGACACUCAACUACGAAAGCGUGGGGAGCAAACAGG